GACGUAGGGCGCGAGCGUUGUCCGGAUUUAUUGGGCGUAAAGAGCUCGUAGGCGGCUUGUUGCGUCGACCGUGAAAACCCGGGGCUCAACUUCGGGCUUGCGGUCGAUACGGGCGGGCUAGAGUUCGGUAGGGGAGACUGGAAUUCCUGGUGUAGCGGCGAAAUGCGCAGAUAUCAGGAGGAACACCGGUGGCGAAGGCGGGUCUCUGGGCCGAUACUGACGCUGAGGAGCGAAAGCGUGGGGAGCGAACAGG
rnacentral:rRNA from 1 species